ACUCAUACCUUGCAGGGGAAAUGCCAUGGUCAUGAAAGUGGUUUUCCUGGGGGAGGCUCAUCCAUUGCAUUUCAGGUCUGCUGAUCCCUGCGAUUUCCCUUAAUGUGGGAAACUAAACUGCAUAAUUUGUGGUAGUGGGGGAUUGCAUUUGUGUUUUCCCUGG
rnacentral:snRNA from 1 species